GAUGAAGAACGUAGCGAAAUGCGAUAAGUAAUGUGAAUUGCAGAAUUCAGUGAAUCAUCGAAUCUUUGAACGCACAUUGCGCCCGCCAGUAUUCUGGCGGGCAUGCCUGUUCGAGCGUCAUUACAACCCUCAGGCCCCCGGGCCUGGCGUUGGGGAUCGGCGGAGCCCCCCGUGGGCACACGCCGUCCCCCAAAUACAGUGGCGGUCCCGCCGCAGCUUCCAUCGCGUAGUAGCUAACACCUCGCGACUGGAGAGCGGCGCGGCCACGCCGUAAAACACCCAACUCUUCUGAAGUUGACCUCGAAUCAGGUAGGAAUACCCGCUGAACUUAAGCAUAUCAAUAAGCGGGAGGA
rnacentral:misc_RNA from 1 species